rnacentral:rRNA from 1 species
AACGUACGCUGGCGGCACGCCUAACACAUGCAAGUCGAACGAAGUAGCAAUACUUAGUGGCAGACGGGNGAGUAACAUGUGGGUAUCUGCCCUUNGGCCUGGAAUAACACGAGGAAACUUGUGCUAAUACCGGAUAAGUCUUUACGGAGAAANCNUUAUGCACCAUUGGAUGAGCCUGCACUUGAUUAGUUUGUUGGUGGGGUAAUGGCCUACCAAGACUGUGAUCAAUAGCUGAUUUGAGAGGAUGAUCAGCCACAUUGGGANUGAGACACGGCCCAAACUCCUACGGGAGGCAGCAGUGGGGAAUCUUGCACAAUGGAGGAAACUCUGAUGCAGCGAUGCCGCGUGAGUGAAGAAGGCCCUUGGGUUGUAAAGCUCUUUCGUCGGGGAAGAAAAUGACUGUACCCGAAUAAGAAGGUCCGGCUAACUUCGUGCCAGCAGCCGCGGUAAUACGAAGGGACCUAGCGUAGUUCGGAAUUACUGGGCUUAAAGAGUUCGUAGGUGGUUGAAAAAGUUAGUGGUGAAAUCCCAGAGCUUAACUCUGGAACUGCCAUUAAAACUUUUCAGCUAGAGUAUGAUAGAGGAAAGCAGAAUUUCUAGUGUAGAGGNGNNAUUCGUAGAUAUUAGAAAGAAUACCAAUUGCGAAGGCAGCUUUCUGGAUCAUUAC